rnacentral:rRNA from 1 species
UACACUCCUACGGGAGGCAGCAGUGGGGAAUUUUGGACAAUGGGCGAAAGCCUGAUCCAGCAAUGCCGCGUGAGUGAAGAAGGCCUUCGGGUUGUAAAGCUCUUUUGUCAGGGAAGAAACGGUGAAAGCUAAUAUCUUUUGCUAAUGACGGUACCUGAAGAAUAAGCACCGGCUAACUACGUGCCAGCAGCCGCGGUAAUACGUAGGGUGCAAGCGUUAAUCGGAAUUACUGGGCGUAAAGCGUGCGCAGGCGGUUUUGUAAGUCUGAUGUGAAAUCCCCGGGCUCAACCUGGGAAUUGCAUUGGAGACUGCAAGGCUAGAAUCUGGCAGAGGGGGGUAGAAUUCCACGUGUAGCAGUGAAAUGCGUAGAUAUGUGGAGGAACACCGAUGGCGAUGGCAGCCCCCUGGGUCAAGAUUGACGCUCAUGCACGAAAGCGUGGGGAGCAAACAGGAUUAGAAACCCGUGUAGUCCCAUGA